rnacentral:rRNA from 1 species
CUACGGGCGGCUCCAGUGAGGAAUAUUGCACAAUGGAGGAAACUCUGAUGCAGCAACGCCGCGUGGAGGAUGACGCAUUUCGGUGUGUAAACUCCUUUUAUGAGUCAAGAAAAUGACGGUAGCUCAUGAAUAAGCACCGGCUAACUCCGUGCCAGCAGCCGCGGUAAUACGGAGGGUGCAAGCGUUACUCGGAAUCACUGGGCGUAAAGGACGCGUAGGCGGGUUGGAAAGUCAGGUGUGAAAUCCUACAGCUUAACUGUAGAACUGCACUUGAAACUUCUAAUCUAGAGUAUGGGAGGGGGGAUGGAAUUAGUGGUGUAGGGGUGAAAUCCGUAGAUAUCACUAGGAAUACCUAAAGCGAAGGCGAUCUCCUGGAACAUUACUGACGCUGAGGCGUGAAAGCGUGGGGAGCAAACAGGAUUAGAUACCCCGGUAGUC